UACGAAGGGGGCUAGCGUUGCUCGGAAUUACUGGGCGUAAAGGGAGCGUAGGCGGGUUAUCAAGUUGGGGGUGAAAGCCCGGGGCUCAACCUCGGAAUUGCCUUCAAAACUGAUAACCUGGAGUAUGGAAGAGGUAAGUGGAACUCCGAGUGUAGAGGUGAAAUUCGUAGAUAUUCGGAAGAACACCAGUGGCGAAAGGCGACUUACUGGUC
rnacentral:rRNA from 1 species